AUGCCAAGACAUCGAGGGACAGCCGAAACACACACACACAUGGACAGACACACACACACACACAGACACAGACACAUGGAUACACACACGGAGACACACACAGUCAAACGGCACCCCAUUCCUCUAUAUAGUGCACUACUCUUGACCAGGGCCCUGAUAGAGAAUAAGGUGCCAUUUGGGACACACCAAACUUUUCAAACAACUGUAAAGCUGCGACCCAAAAACAUUCUGGCAUUUGGGACUAAAUGUAGGUCAUCAUCACCUGUGCACAGCCAGCCAGCCAGUCCCAGCCAGCCAGCCAGCCAGCCAGCCAGCCAGCCAGUCCCAGCCAGCCAGCCAGUCCCAGCCAGCCAGCCAGCCAGCCAGUCCCAGCCAGCCAGCCAGCCAGCCAGUCCCAGCCAGCCAGCCAGCCAGCCAGUCCCAGCCAGCCAGCCAGCCAGCCAGUCCCAGCCAGCCAGUCCCAGCCAGCCAGCCAGCCAGCCAGUCCCAGCCAGCCAGUCCCAGCCAGCCAGUCCCAGCCAGCCAGCCAGCCAGCCAGCCAGUCCCAGCCAGCCAGCCAGCCAGCCAGCCAGCCAGCCAGCCAGCCAGUCCCAGCCAGCCAGUCCCAGCCUGCCAGUCCCAGCCAGCCAGCCAGCCAGCCAGUCCCAGCCAGCCAGCCAGCCAGCCAGUCCCAGCCAGCCAGUCCCAGCCAGCCAGCCAGCCAGCCAGUCCCAGCCAGCCAGCCAGCCAGUCCCAGCCAGUCAGUCCCAGCCAGCCAGCCAGUCCCAGCCAGCCAGUCCCAGCCAGCCAGCCAGUCCCAGCCAGCCAGUCCCAGCCAGCCAGUCAGUCAGCCAGUCAGCCAGUCAGCCAGUUAGCCAGUCAGCCAGCCAGCCAGUCCCAGCCAGCCAGUCCCAGCCAGCCAGCCAGUCAGUCAGCCAGUCAGCCAGUCAGCCAGUCAGCCAGUUAGCCAGUCAGCCAGCCAGCCAGUCCCAGCCCAUUGCUGUUCCCCACUUAGGAACAAACUAA
rnacentral:lncRNA from 1 species